GACGAACGCUGGCGGCGUGCUUAACACAUGCAAGUCGAACGAAGAGCGAUGGAAGCUUGCUUCUAUCAAUCUUAGUGGCGAACGGGUGAGUAACGCGUAAUCAACCUGCCCUUCAGAGGGGGACAACAGUUGGAAACGACUGCUAAUACCGCAUACGAUCUAAUCUCGGCAUCGAGGAUAGAUGAAAGGUGGCCUCUACAUGUAAGCUAUCACUGAAGGAGGGGAUUGCGUCUGAUUAGCUAGUUGGAGGGGUAACGGCCCACCAAGGCGAUGAUCAGUAGCCGGUCUGAGAGGAUGAACGGCCACAUUGGGACUGAGACACGGCCCAGACUCCUACGGGAGGCAGCAGUGGGAAUCUUCCGCAAUGGACGAAAGUCUGACGGAGCAACGCCGCGUGAGUGAUGACGGCCUUCGGGUUGUAAAGCUCUGUUAAUCGGGACGAAAGGCCUUCUUGCGAAUAGUGAGAAGGAUUGACGGUACCGGAAGAGAAAGCCACGGCUAACUACGUG
rnacentral:rRNA from 1 species